rnacentral:rRNA from 1 species
CUGGCGGCGUGCCUAAUACAUGCAAGUCGAGCGCGGGAAGCGAGCUGAUCCCUUCGGGGUGACGCUCGUGGAACGAGCGGCGGACGGGUGAGUAACACGUGGGCAACCUGCCUGUAAGAUCGGGAUAACUCCGGGAAACCGGGGCUAAUACCGGGUAAUACUUUCUUUCGCAUGAAGGAAAGUUGAAAGAUGGCUUCUCGCUAUCACUUACAGAUGGGCCCGCGGCGCAUUAGCUAGUUGGUGAGGUAACGGCUCACCAAGGCGACGAUGCGUAGCCGACCUGAGAGGGUGAUCGGCCACACUGGGACUGAGACACGGCCCAGACUCCUACGGGAGGCAGCAGUAGGGAAUCUUCCGCAAUGGACGAAAGUCUGACGGAGCAACGCCGCGUGAACGAUGAAGGUCUUCGGAUCGUAAAGUUCUGUUGUUAGGGAAGAACAAGUACCGUGCGAAUAGAGCGGUACCUUGACGGUACCUAACGAGGAAGCCCCGGCUAACUACGUGCCAGCAGCCGCGGUAAUACGUAGGGGGCAAGCGUUGUCCGGAAUUAUUGGGCGUAAAGCGCGCGCAGGCGGUUCCUUAAGUCUGAUGUGAAAGCCCACGGCUCAACCGUGGAGGGUCAUUGGAAACUGGGGAACUUGAGGACAGAAGAGGAGAGUGGAAUUCCACGUGUAGCGGUGAAAUGCGUAGAUAUGUGGAGGAACACCAGUGGCGAAGGCGACUCUCUGGUCUGUUUCUGACGCUGAGGUGCGAAAGCGUGGGUAGCAAACAGGAUUAGAUACCCUGGUAGUCCACGCCGUAAACGAUGAGUGCUAGGUGUUAGGGGGCUUCCACCCCUUAGUGCUGAAGUUAACGCAUUAAGCACUCCGCCUGGGGAGUACGGCCGCAAGGCUGAAACUC